rnacentral:misc_RNA from 1 species
GAUGAAGAACGUAGCGAAAUGCGAUAAGUAGUGUGAAUUGCAGAAUUCAGUGAAUCAUCGAAUCUUUGAACGCACAUUGCGCCCCUUGGUAUCCCGAGGGGCAUGCCUGUUCGAGCGUCAUUACAACCCUCAAGCUCAGCUUGGUGUUGGGCCCCGCCGCCCCGGCGGGCCCUAAAGUCAGUGGCGGUGCCGUCCGGCUCCGAGCGUAGUAAUUCUUCUCGCUCUGGAGGUCCGGUCGUGUGCUCGCCAGCAACCCCCAAUUUUUUUCAGGUUGACCUCGGAUCAGGUAGGGAUACCCGCUGAACUUAAGCAUAUCAAUAAGCGGAGGA